rnacentral:rRNA from 1 species
UACAGGGGGGGCAAGCGUUGUUCGGAAUUACUGGGCGUAAAGGGUUCGUAGGUGGCCAACUAAGUCAUACGUGAAAUCCCUCAGCUUAACUGGGGAACUGCGUCUGAUACUGGUUGGCUUGAGUGCAGGAGAGGAACGCGGAAUUCCAGGUGUAGCGGUGAAAUGCGUAGAUAUGCGGAGGAACACCGAUGGCGAAGGCAAUCCCCUGGACCUGUACUGACGCUCAUGCACGAAAGCGUGGGGAGCAAACAGG